rnacentral:rRNA from 1 species
CCUACGGGUGGCAGCAGUGAGGAAUAUUGGUCAAUGGCCGGAAGGCUGAACCAGCCAAGCCGCGUGAAGGACGAAGGUGCCAAGCAUUGUAAACUUCUUUUGUCAAGGGACAAAAUCAGGCUCGAGAGCCUGACCGAGGGUACUUGAAGAAAAAGCAUCGGCUAACUCCGUGCCAGCAGCCGCGGUAAUACGGAGGAUGCGAGCGUUAUCCGGAUUUAUUGGGUUUAAAGGGUGCGCAGGCGGCCUGUUAAGUCAGCGGUAAAAGCCCGGGGCUCAACCCCGGCGAGCCGUUGAAACUGGCGGGCUGGAGUUGGAGAGAAGUACGCGGAAUGCGCGGUGUAGCGGUGAAAUGCUUAGAUAUCGCGCAGAACCCCGAUUGCGAAGGCAGCGUACCGGCUCCACACUGACGCUGAGGCACGAAAGCGUGGGUAUCGAACAGGAUUAGAUACCCUGGUAGUC